UACGUAGGGCGCAAGCGUUGUCCGGAAUUAUUGGGCGUAAAGAGCUCGUAGGCGGUCUGUCGCGUCGGUUGUGAAAACACAAGGCUCAACCUUGUGCCUGCAAUCGAUACGGGCAGACUAGAGUACUGCAGGGGAGACUGGAAUUCCUGGUGUAGCGGUGGAAUGCGCAGAUAUCAGGAGGAACACCUGUUGCGAAGGCAGCUCGCUGGGACGUAACUGACGCUGAGACGCGAAAGCGUGGGGAGCAAACAGG
rnacentral:rRNA from 1 species